UCCAGACUCCUACGGGAGGCAGCAGUGGGGGAUAUUGCACAAUGGGGGAAACCCUGAUGCAGCGACGCCGCGUGAGUGAAGAAGUAUUUCGGUAUGUAAAGCUCUAUCAGCAGGGAAGAAAAAAGACGGUACCUGACUAAGAAGCCCCGGCUAACUACGUGCCAGCAGCCGCGGUAAUACGUAGGGGGCAAGCGUUAUCCGGAUUUACUGGGUGUAAAGGGAGCGUAGACGGCAAUACAAGUCGGAAGUGAAAUACCCGGGCUUAACCUGGGAACUGCUUUGGAAACUGUAUGGCUGGAGUGCUGGAGAGGUAAGCGGAAUUCCUAGUGUAGCGGUGAAAUGCGUAGAUAUUAGGAGGAACACCAGUGGCGAAGGCGGCUUACUGGACAGUAACUGACACUGAGGUACGAAAGCGUGGGGAGCAAACAGGAUUAGAUACCCGAGUA
rnacentral:rRNA from 1 species